UGGAAAAUUAGGUGAUCUUUAAGGCUGAACACUAAUCUCUGGAGGAGCAACAGGGUUAUGAAAGUGUAUAUUUUCAAAUGAACAAUAUAAUUGUAGUGAGGUAAUAAUAAAAUGAAAACAUAUUCUUGUACUUUGCUUCACAAAUUCUUGAACAACAGACUUCCCCGUUUCUUAUGUUCUAAUGCUGGAAAAUGGAAUGAAGACCUUUCAACAUUAAUCAAACAUGACAUUGAACAUAGAUGGAGAAACAAGCUUGAGGCACCCAUUUAUAGUGAUGAUAACAAGAAAUCUAAAUUUUAUGUGCUGUCAAUGUUUCCUUAUCCAUCAGGACAAUUGCAUAUGGGGCAUGUACGAGUAUACACUAUUAGUGACACAAUGGCCCGUUUCUACAGGAUGAAUGGGAAAAAUGUGAUUCAUCCCAUGGGUUGGGAUGCAUUUGGUCUUCCUGCAGAAAAUGCUGCAAUUGAAAGAGGAAUAGAGCCAUCAGCUUGGACCAAACAAAAUAUAAAACACAUGAAGGAACAGCUUCAGAAAUUAGGUUGCAGCUUUGAAUGGGAUCGUGAGCUGACAACUUGUGACCAAAAGUAUUAUUGUUGGACACAGUUCAUAUUUUUAAGAAUGUAUGAAGAAGGGUUAGUUUACAGAAAAGAAGCCCUUGUCAACUGGGAUCCAGUAGAUCAGACAGUACUGGCAGAUGAGCAAGUUGAUGCAAAUGGUUGCUCAUGGCGUUCGGGUGCUAAAGUGGAAAAGAAACUGCUAAAUCAGUGGUUCAUUAGAACAACACGUUUUUCAAAAUCUCUUUUGGAUGGACUUGAUGACCCAAUUCUUAAGAACUGGAAAGACAUUAUAAAUCUUCAAAGACAUUGGAUUGGGGAGUGUAAUGGAACUAGGUUUGAAUUUGAGUUGGAGGACAAUUCAUCAAAGUUUACCAAGCAAACUCUUGCUGUAUUUACCUGCAAUCCAGAACAUAUACAUUAUGCAAGUUUUAUUGCUGUAGCUCCUGGGAGCAUCUUGGAUCGGGUAGAGUUUGAUUGUGACAGUAUCAUUGAGAAUAACAGUGUGUUUAAAAGACUUCCUCUUCAGGCCAAGAAUCCUUUUACAGGAAAAGACCUUCCCAUAUAUGUAACUGAUCAAGUAGAAUAUGAUGAAGGAUCAGACUGCCAUCUUGGAGUACCAAAAAUCUCAGAAAUAGACAGAUUGUUUGCAACAGCUGCAAACAUUCCAAUAUUAUCUCCAAAGGAAAAUGAUGGACUGUUGAAAUCAGUUGAAGAUGUUAGUGUGACAAGGGAACACAUUAAUACUGUGGCACAACAACUAGGGAUUGGUGGAUAUUCCUGCAGUUCCAAACUUCGAGACUGGUUAAUUUCUCGUCAGCGUUACUGGGGUACACCUAUUCCAAUAGUGUACUGUAAACAUUGUAAUGGUCCCCAACCUGUACCAUACAGUGAGCUGCCUGUGAUUUUACCAGACAUUGACAGAUUAUCAAACAAGGGCAAAUCUCUUCUAGAAGCUACAGAGUGGCUAAGUACAAAGUGUCCUAAAUGUGGUGGAGAUGCUACACGUGAGACUGAUACUAUGGAUACAUUUGUUGAUUCAUCAUGGUAUUUUCUGCGGUAUCUUGAUCCAUACAAUAAGGAGAUGCCAUUCAGUAAAGAGGUGGCAAAUAGAUUUAUGCCUGUGGAUUUAUAUAUUGGAGGCAAGGAACAUGCGGUACUUCACUUGUAUUAUGCACGGUUCUUGAAUCACUUUCUACACUCUGUUGGCCUUGUUCCAAGCCAAGAACCAUUUCAGCAGCUGCUGAUCCAGGGUAUGGUAAUGGGGCAGAGUUACAGGGUUAAAGGCACUGGUCGAUAUCUGCCUAAAGAAAAUGUAGAUCUCUCAGGUCCCAAACCUGUGGAAAAGGUAACCGGCCAGGCUGUGGUUACUGCAUGGGAGAAGAUGAGCAAGUCAAAACAUAAUGGUGUGGAUCCAGAGACAAUGCUGAAAGAAUAUGGAACUGACACUACUAGGCUACUUAUACUUGCAGAUGUAGCACCAACAUCUCAUCGGCACUGGAACAGUAGCACCUUUCCUGGUAUAUUGAAAUGGCAGCAUCGUCUGUGGUUGACAAUGAGAAGUUUCCUAAAUAUUCGUUCCAACCUAGAGAAUGUGGUUUCUGACACAGUUUCGGAUACACCUGAAUUCAAGGAGCAUGAAGCUAAAAUGUUUGAUAGUCGAAACUACUAUUUGAAAGGUGUUACAUUCAACUACACAACAUCAUUUCAACUUAGUGUUGCUAUUUCCAAGAUGCAGGGUCUCACAAAUAGUUUGCGGCAAGUACCACCAGAGGUGAUCGGUCACAGCCUUCAGUUUGAGAGAGCUCUUGCAUGUUUGAUCAUUGUUCUGGCACCAAUGGCACCACAUUUUGCAUCAGAAUUGUGGUCUGGGUUUGUAUCAGCUCCAAAUCGCAUAAAUACAUCAACAAAGGAAAUCAAUUGGGACCGAGGUGUUCUGGAACAGACUUGGCCAGAAAUUGAUUUAAACUACUGCCUUCAACUUGUUUGCAUGGUGAAUGGACUAGAGAAGAAGAGCAUUUAUCUACCACGGCAUCAACUUGAUAACUUAACUCAUGAGGAUGCACUAGAACUGGCACUUUCACAGACUGACUUGCAGAAAUACACAUCAGGCUAUAUGAUUGUCAACACAGCCUUCACAUUGCACCCCAGUUAUAAAGCUGUUAUUAACAUAAAAACAGAAAGUAUUAGCAAAACAAAGGAGCAACAAGAGCAAGAAGGAUGAAGUUCAGUGUAAAGUACUCAGGGUUCACUUCCUUCUCUGUUGAUGCAGUUAAUAAAUCUGGUCCAUAGUGUAUCUACAGGAGUUCUGAACUAGACUUGGUGUUUGAGAGGCAGUUAGUUCACCAUUUUGUUGGAGGUGGGUUUUCAGCUACACUCUUGGUGGCUUCUGGAGCUAUCUCUUAAGGCCACUAGAUUUAAGGUGUUUGUCAUCAUUUGUGAUGAGUGCUGAAAGUCUCUAGAGUACACAGUUUGAAGCAUAAGAAUAAAAAACACACUAAAGAAGUGAUUUAUCUGGUCCAGUGGUGAGGUAAACUUACUGAUUUGUGUUUUUUCUCAGUGAAUCCAAGAAAGUGAUCUGUAUGGCAUGAAAUGUGACCACUGCACAGUUUUUUUAAGGCAGUAAUAUUAAUUAUGGGGAAUUAGGUGACUGAAUUUUUUUUCAUUUUGCUGUUGGCUUCUGUGCUAGCAACUUGACCACCAUUUGCCAAGAAAAAGGAAUCUCUGGUCGUAGUUAAUGUCGUAUUAUACAAGUGCAUGCACUUCUGAAAUUAAAUAAAUGGUUCAGAAAUGCCUUCCAUCUACUCUUUAACUGUCUCUCUUGAAAAAGUUGUUUUAAUUAAACUUUUGUCUUGUAAAUUUCCCCGCAGAUAAAAAUCAUAGGGUUUUAAAUCUGGAAAGUGUGCAGACUGUAAUCUCUGAUUUAUCAGUCUGUCUUCAAAAACUUUGUUUAAAACAUUAAUUGAAUAAUUGGUGGGGUAGGAUGGAGGUAUGACUCCUACUCAUUCUUGAUCUUGGCACUAGGUGGUGGUGAGUUCUUAGUUCACACUCAAGAAAGGAGACCCCGUACCCAUUGGAUAGCGGGCUGGAUGGUUCCCACACUAGGUUUAGACACCAAAGUUACAGAAAAAAUCCUUUUAUCCCUGCUGGGGUCAAACCUCAAUUGUCUAGUCCAUAGAUACUAUGUUUACCAAUUUUCCUUGGCGCUUAUUUUGUUUAGUGUUUGCAAAAGUGUUUUGGGCACCCCUAGUCUUGUAGGGUGACAGUGCAUCUAUGUAUGUAUUACUGUGUGGUAUCACAGGGAACAUGCAUAUGGUUUUGAUAAGUUUUGCUUAAUAUUUGUUUUGAACAUUCCUAAAAAGAAACUUGGCACAAAUUUACAUUCAUUGUCAAAUUAUGUAUCUACAGAUUAAAUUUUACAUUCUUGUAGAAAAUUGACUAGCUGGGAAUGAAAAGAUUGUCAGUUAAUAUAUCCAUGGAGUAGAGUCCUUCUGGAGAAGUUAAUAGUAUGUUUAUCUAGUCAAAAAAUUCUCCACCUUUUGUGUAACCUGAAGGUUCAUUACAAUGUGUCACAAGAGCCUGCCACAGGUCUUUAUGCUGAACCAGAUUAAUAUGUUCAACACUCCAACCCUAUUUCCCCAAGAUGCAAUGUAAGGUUAUAUUUUGAUAUAUUACUUUCAGGCUUUUCAACCAAAAUAUCUGGAUUUCUUGGCCAUAUUAUUUGGUGAAGAGUACAAAUUGUGGAGAUUCUCAUUAUGUAGUUGUCUCCAGCUUCCUGUCACUCAUCCUUCUUAUGUCUAUGUAUUCUCCUAAGCAACCUGUUCUCAUGCCUCAUCAUUGUGUGUUCUUCCCUUAACAUGAGAGACCAGACUUUACACACGUACAAAACAGUAGGUACAGUUAUAUGAGGAUACCUCCAAAUGUAAUGCCCCACAUUUUUCUAAGAAAUCAGUAUUUAUUCUAUAGCAUUGCUAUUGAUACAUUUUAUAGGUACAUCCUUUGGGAGAAAAAUCAUGUUUUUCCACAUUAUCACCUCUUCUCACAACUGCUUUCUUCCACCUCUUAACAAGUGUUUGUAUACCCACUAUGUAAAACUGAGGACCUGCAUUCCUUAGGGAAUUUUUUGCUGCUGCCUAGAGAGACUCAUUGUUUUUGAACUUGGAACCAUGAAGGCUGUCUUUCAGUUUGAAGAAAGGAUGGUAGUCUGAUAGUGACACACCAAGACUGUAAGGUGAGUGUGGCAAUACCAUCCACCUUAAUUUGUUGAUGGCCUCCGUGGCUUACAGAAUUACGUGAGGAUGGGCAUUGUCAUGCUGGAGCAGGAUGUCUGCCAUCUGCUUGUGUGUGGUCAAACAAGGUGCAAAUAUGCAUGAAGUUUUGUUAAUGUCACCACAUAUACCUCUGAGUUGAUGGUGGUUCCUUAAGGCAUGAUAUUCACAAGAAGUUCCUCCAUGUCCCACACAACUGUCACCAUCACCUUUCCUGCAGAAGAGGCAACUGAAUUUCUUCUUCUGUGGGGAAUUAGCAUGAUGCCACUCCAUUGAUUGAGUCUUUGUUUCUGGUUCGUACACCUUCUGUAAUAGCUUGUGGGUGUUUCCCACUGUCUCUUUCUCACAUCAAAAAUUCAAUUACAGUAUGUUGCUUCUGAUGGAUGUCAAGUGCAGUCGCCAUUUUGAACGCAUGUUUUAACAUCACUAGCAGGAAGUGAAUGAACUAACCAUGAAUAGAAGCAGGAAGAAUUUACCUACAAACUGAAAAUUGCAAGCCUCUGGAAUAAAAAGUUUUUUAAAAAAAUGUGGGGCAUUUAUUUUAGAGUGACCUUUGUAUUUGUAUAUUUUAAUUGUAAAUUUUUCGUAACAUCCAGGUAGACAGCAUUCGCUGAAUUUACUCUGUACUUAAUUUCAUUGUGAAUGCAAUUCUGAUUUUUUAUUGUUUCCAAAUAUUUGAACUUCGGUACAUUUUAUUCACCUUUAUGUUUUUUUUAAAAUUUUGACAGUAUCCAUAUGUUUUACCAUUCUGUAUUUCCUUAUUCUUAAAGUGUGAAGCAUACAGAUGUGAAACUGUCAUAUCCUGUUAUUCAUUCAUUGACUGAAAUAUAGCUCAGUUGCUCACAUGAAAUUGAAUAUUUUUAAUUGCAAUGGUUAUUGCAUAUUUUAAAAGUUUAGGCCCAUUAAAUGCCCACAUCUCAGUGUGUUGAUAAACGUGUGAUAUCUGGUUUCUCUAAAAUAAUAUCCCUUUUGCUUCCCUGAUCUGUCAUUGGUAAGGUUUAAUGGUUUGUACUGUGAUUUUGCUUUUUGUUUUCAGUUUACUUGUAAUAAAUAUUGUCAGUUUGGGUUGUAAGUCUAGAGUUAAGUUUUAUGUAGAGUUAUAAAACAAUUUGUGUGUA